UACAGGGGGUGCAAACGUUGCUCGGAAUCAUUGGGCGUAAAGCGCACGUAGGCGGUUCGUUAUGUCGGAUGUGAAAGCCCUUGGCUUAACCGAGGAAGUGCAUCCGAAACUGGCGAGCUAGAGUACGAAAGAGGAUCGCGGAAUUCCCGGUGUAGAGGUGAAAUUCGUAGAUAUCGGGAGGAACACCCGUGGCGAAGGCGGCUCUCUGGGACGGUACUGACGCUGAGACGCGAAAGCGUGGGGAGCGAACAGG
rnacentral:rRNA from 1 species